GCCGGGCUCAGGGGCCCGUGCCUGCAGUCCCAGCUACUCCGGAGGCUCAGGUGGGAGGAUGGGUUGAGCCCAGGAGUUCUGGGCUGUGGUGCACUAUGCUGAUCGGGUGUCCACACUAAGUUCAGCAUCCAUAUGGUGACCUCCCGGGAGCGGGGGAUCACCAGGUUGCCUAAGGAGGUGUGAACCGGCCCAGGUCGGAAACGGAGCAGGUCAAAACUCCCAUGCUGAUCAGUAGUCGGAUUGCGCCUGUGAAUAGCCACUGCACUCCAGCCUGGGCAACAUAGCGAGACCCCCAUCUCU
rnacentral:SRP_RNA from 1 species